rnacentral:rRNA from 1 species
UACGUAGGGCGCAAGGCGUUGUCCGGAAUCAUUGGGCGUAAAGCGCGCGUAGGCGGCCCGGUAAGUCCGCUGUGAAAGUCAAAGGCUCAACCUUUGAAUGUCAGCGGAUACUGCCGGGCUAGAGUCCGGAAGAGGCGAGUGGAACUCCUGGUGUAGCGGUGAAAUGCGCAGAUAUCGGGAAGAACACCCGUGGCGAAGGCGGCUCUCUGGGACGGUACUGACGCUGAGACGCGAAAGCGUGGGGGAGCGAACAGG